UAAAUGUAUACAUUCAACAGCAAAAAAACGGAGACUCCAAUUUAGUCUUAUAAUUGUGUUUAAUAUAUCAAUCUUUUAAAAUUAAUGGUUAAUUUAUAAGUUAUUUACACAAAAUCUCCCACGAAUGGAUAAUUUUUAUGGAUUAUUAACAAACAAAUAGAUAUUUUUGUCAAAACUUUAUCCCCCAUUCUUAUUUGGUUUUCUAACUAAUUAACUCAUUGUAAUAGCAGUUAUUUCUCCCUUUGCUAGGCCAAAGGACUCGAAUCUUAUAUUUGAUGAAACAUGUUAAAAUCUAUUUACAGCUAUCAGGUUGGAGUUUCAGCCACACCCAAAGAACUCAACCGGUACAACACAAACAAAUUCAAUUCAGCUCCAACAAUUGGGAAUCCAGUUGAGGGCUGCAACCAUCCAGGAUUUCCAUAGAUAAGUCCCAGUUUUGGCACUGUUUUUAAUUUACGCUUGUUUUUUUUUCGUUGUGCUCUUUUGGAUAUGCAGUUGAUGUUAAUUUAUUAUUUUAUCAAUAAAUUUAUUUGCUGUUGAAA